rnacentral:tRNA from 1 species
GGUAGUGUGGCUGAGCAGUUUACGGCGCUGGUUUAAGACUCCAGUCUCUUUAGGGGUGUGGGUUCCAAUUCCACUGCUGCCA